rnacentral:rRNA from 1 species
AACGAACGCUGGCGGCAUGCCUAACACAUGCAAGUCGAACGAGACCUUCGGGUCUAGUGGCGCACGGGUGCGUAACGCGUGGGAACCUGCCCUUAGGUUCGGAAUAACUCCCCGAAAGGGGUGCUAAUACCGGAUAAUGUCUUCGGACCAAAGAUUUAUCGCCUUUGGAUGGGCCCGCGUUGGAUUAGCUAGUUGGUAGGGUAAAAGCCUUCCAAGGCGACGAUCCAUAGCUGGUCUGAGAGGAUGAUCAGCCACACUGGGACUGAGACACGGCCCAGACUCCUACGGGAGGCAGCAGUGGGGAAUAUUGGACAAUGGGCGAAAGCCUGAUCCAGCAAUGCCGCGUGAGUGAUGAAGGCCUUAGGGUUGUAAAGCUCUUUUACCCGGGAUGUUAAUGACAGUACCGGGAGAAUAAGCGCCGGCUAACUCCGUG